AGCAGCCGCGGUAAUUCCAGCUCCAAUAGCGUAUAUUAAAGUUGUUGCAGUUAAAAAGCUCGUAGUUGAAUUUCGGGAUCAAUUAAUUGGUCGUGCCUAUGGUACGUACUGAUUUUAUUGGUUUCUCCCUUCUGACGAACCAUGAUGUCAUUAAUUUGGUGUCGUGGAGAAUCAGGACUGUUACUUUGAAAAAUUAGAGUGUUUAAAGCAAGCUAACGCUUGAAUACAUUAGCAUGGAAUAAUGAAAUAGGACGUUUGAUCCUAUUUUGUUGGUUUCUAGGAUCGACGUAAUGAUUAAUAGGGAUAGUUGGGGGCAUUAGUAUUCAAUUGUCAGAGGUGAAAUUCUUGGAUUUAUUGAAGACUAACUACUGCGAAAGCAUUUGCCAAGGAUGUUUUCAUUAAUCAAGAACGAAAGUUAGGGGAUCGAAGACGAUCAGAUACCGUCGUAGUCUUAACCAUAAACUAUGCCGACUAGGGAUCGGAUGAUGUUAAUUUUUUAAUGACUCAUUCGGCGCCUU
rnacentral:misc_RNA from 1 species